AUUGAACGCUGGCGGCAUGCCUUACACAUGCAAGUCGAACGGUAACAGGUUAAGCUGACGAGUGGCGAACGGGUGAGUAAUGUAUCGGAACGUGCCCAGUCGUGGGGGAUAACUGCUCGAAAGAGCAGCUAAUACCGCAUACGACCUGAGGGUGAAAGCGGGGGGAUCGCAAGACCUCGCGCGAUUGGAGCGGCCGAUAUCAGAUUAGGUAGUUGGUGGGGUAAAGGCCUACCAAGCCUACGAUCUGUAGCUGGUCUGAGAGGACGACCAGCCACACUGGGACUGAGACACGGCCCAGACUCCGACGGGAGGCAGCAGUGGGGAAUUUUGGACAAUGGACGCAAGUCUGAUCCAGCCAUGCCGCGUGCGGGAAGAAGGCCUUCGGGUUGUAAACCGCUUUUGUCAGGGAAGAAAAGGUUCUGGCUAAUACCUGGGACUCAUGACGGUACCUGAAGAAUAAGCGCCGGCUAACUACGUGCCAGCCGCCGCAGUAACAC
rnacentral:rRNA from 1 species